rnacentral:rRNA from 1 species
UACGGGGGGGGCAAGCGUUGUUCGGAGUUACUGGGCGUAAAGGGUGCGUAGGCGGCCUGCUAAGUCGGAUGUGAAAUCCCUCGGCUCAACCGAGGAACUGCAUCCGAUACUGGCGGGCUUGAAUCCGGGAGAGGGAUGUGGAAUUCCAGGUGUAGCGGUGAAAUGCGUAGAUAUCUGGAGGAACACCGGUGGCGAAGGCGGCAUCCUGGACCGGUAUUGACGCUGAGGCGCGAAAGCUAGGGGAGCAAACGGG